AUUGAACGCUGGCGGCAUGCCUUACACAUGCAAGUCGAACGGAUUGAAGGGGCUUGCCCCGUGAGUUAGGGGCGAAUGGGUGAGUAAAGCAUCGGAACGCAGCCAGUGGUGGGGGAGAACGUAGCGAUAGGUAAGUAAAGACCACAUACGAACUGAGGAAGAAAGGGGGGGAUCGAAAGAGCGCGCGUGGUUGGAGCGAUCGCUGUCGGAUUAGCUAGUUGGUGGGGGAAAGGCCUACCAAGCCGACGAUCCGUGGCUGGUCUGAGAGGACGAUCAGCCACACUGGAACUGAGACACGGUCCAGACUCCUACGGGAGGCAGCAGUGGGGAAUUUUGGACAAUGGGGGAAACUCUGAUCCAGCCAUGCCGCGUGAGUGAAGAAGGCCUUCGGGUUGUAAAGCUCUUUCAGUCGGAAAGAAAAGGCUCCGGAUAAUACCUGGAGUUCAUGACGGUACCGACAGAAGAAGCACCGGCUAACUACGUGCCAGCCGCCGCAGUAA
rnacentral:rRNA from 1 species